UCUAUUCAGAGGAACCUGCUUCUAUAAUUGAUAAUCCACGAUUUAAUUUACUUGCUUUAUUAAUUUAUAUAUCGGCGUAGUUUGAAUAUUUUAGUAGAAUUUUAAUAUUCAAGAUUUUUAAUAAUAAAAAAAAUCAGAUCAAGGUGUAGUUUAUAAGUAAGAAGAAAUGGGUUACUAUAAUAAAAAUUUAGGAUAAUUAUUUUUGAAUAUAAUUUGAAUAAGGAUUUGAAGG
rnacentral:rRNA from 1 species